CAGGACAUCAGAACCACGUGGAGAAAGAGCGCUUCUCGUCCUUUACUUCGUCCAUGUAGGAUCCGUGCGGGCUUAAAUCCCAAGCUAGCCGGGGGGAUUUACAGCCCGAAACCCACGGGUUCCUUCAGGGAGUCAUUUAAUGCCUCAUCUUGUGAGGAUUCCAUGCCCAACUACAUUUAAUAGGAAGAAUGACUGAUUGAAAGAGAGAAAACCCCCACUUCUCUAAGGCAAACUAGAGGAAUGAUCACUUUGGGUAAUCAGAAAGACCACCUGCGAUGAAAUUUGGCUGGAAAUAACUUCAUAUGCUUUCUUGUACCACCAGGAAGAUGAGGGCUGAAGACUGACACACAACAAUGCUCAUGUACUUUGGAAAACAGUGUCUCAGUCCUUGUGGAAUAAAUCUGCCCUCCAACUGUGAGAAUAUAAAAUACAAGUUCUGCAGAGAAAAGAUGAGAGGUUGGUGUUCGUAUUUUUUUUGGUUUAUUUGUCUUUGUUUGGAUAGUUGUAUAAUUAAUUCAACUUCUACUGCCUCAGAAAUCUAAUAAUACUUAAAAUGAGAACUUAUUCACAACAAUGUCUUUGGAAGACUUAUUCCUCAAGUAUCUUAAUUUCUGUAUGCUGAUUUAUAAAGCUAUUCCAGAUCUGUUACACAGCCUAAUACAACAGGUGGGCUUUGCUGGUUCCAGGACCUCUAAAAAUCUUGGUGGUACCCUGAAAAACUGAUAUCCUUUGAUUGUGAUCGGAGAGAGCACUAGAGCUGAAGCUUUGCUUAAAUCUAUAAUAUUUGUCCUGGGAAGUGGUGAAAACAUAACUGUGCUAUGGACUGUGUGGGAAAACAUAUGUUUGGGGGGUAUGGGGUACUUCCAGCCCUGCUGGGAUGCUUGGAAGAGGGUGUUUGGGCCAGACCUGCAAAACACACAUUGCUAUCAGAUUUGUACCCCAUCAUGCAGGUGUAGCCAUGGCAACUCCAGGUUACAUAUCGGGAUAUCCAAGUCCAUCAGGUGAGUGGGUACAUAUGAAAUUGGGAAAGAAAUUUGCACAUAUGACAAUUUUUCUAGCUGAUGUGAAGGAAGGAGAGAAGGUCACCCUGCUGCCCAGCUGAGGCCUCUUUGGUACAGCUGAUCCCUGAGCAAUGAUGGCACAGAUGCAACAACUCAGCUGUGCCGGGGGGCUAGUGGUGGUGAAAAGAAUCCCAUCCAGAACCCCAACACCUUGGCCUGUUUUUCAGACAAUCUAUCCAUUUCUACAUUGAUGUACAUAUUUUAGGAAAAAAACACCGCAGGCCCAGGAAUGAUGCUAGUAAUGAUGGUAUAGUUUCAAAGACACUGUCUUGGCUCCAGUGCAGGGUUUCAAGGAACUGUAUCGAAGGCAGAAUUCAGAUCAUUUUAGGACCAGAGACACAAUGUAGCUAACUUCCAGGUGAUGGAAGAUUAAGGAGAAUGACAUACUGAAUGCCUUGAUCUUUGCUGAAUAUCUCUUUCCUUCAUCUGAUACUGGCCCCCUCUGCAUGCAACAAAACUGACAGGGUCAAUAACAAAAAGCCCUUUUUUUGCUUAUAUGUACUUCCUUGGUCUAUGUAAAUUGUUCUUUAGCAGCCAAGUGCCCUACAUACCCCCAAAAUAACAGCAACAAAACAGACUGUCUUAUGUGUUAGUAGUUGAGUGGGCAGUAAGUACCAGAAGGAUUAUAGGUGGAAGUGUAAACUUUAAUCAUCUGCCUCAGACCUCAGAGAGGGGUAUUAUUAAAUAUUUUUCACUCUUUUUUUCCUUUUACCCCAAGUGUGGCAAGUUGGAACUGAAAUUUUCUAAGGCUCCAAGCCUUUAUUUGCUCUUUUACACUGUUGUUUUAAUUUUGCACAUGGGCACAUGUACCUUUUCCUGAAUGCUGCCGUUGUGUUCCAUCAUCAUUGCCUGUAUGUAGAGCUUCACAUGGAGGAGUGGGUGUCAAUGCACCCAGUUUUGGUAGGGAAACUUAUUAUCUAUUAUCAAAGACAUACUUUACAAAGAACAGAAAUACUAAUUGAAACAGAAAUGAUCUUUUAUUUCCAUUGUCUGAAAGGUUUUAGAAUGACUUUUUCCUUUGUUAAAAAAUGGCAUGCUACAAAUUUGUCUUUGUUGGAGAUUCAAGACCUUGUGCUCUCACUUAAGAUUUCAAAUCUGAAGGCAACUGGCAAAACUAUGGAGAAUCAGGUUAGCAAUUGAUUGGAGUAAGAUAAAGAAUUACACAUUAUGCUGAACCAAUUUCUACUCACUAAUUUCUGGUAUAGGUAAAAAACCCUUUCAGAACAUCUUCAUUUAUAAUAAACCUGUUUUUUUUCUUUCCUUGUGAUUCUUAUUAGGAAGAUGUAAUGUUUGCAGUACCUAAGCUCCUGAUGUAAAAGUCACUAAAGCCAAUGGAAGUAUAUCUAUGCAUUUCACCAGGCUGUGGUUUGAAACAAGCCUGUACAAAAUACAUAAUUUAUUUACAAAAUACAAAAUUUAUAAUUUACAAAUACCCUUUAAUUUUAAUGGAAGAUUUGCUGGCCCAUAGUAAGGCAUUUUUAUUAAUGUGUAGCAUAAUACAUUUAGUUAAUGAGAUUAUAAUUUAGCUCUGUUAAAUCUAGAUAGUGUAUCUUGAAUUGUAAUAGGUAGUGCUCUAUAAGUAAAAGGGAUUCUGUAGCAAUGGCAGAACUUAUAUUUAUUGCGUGGCAAUGCUAUAUAUUUUCAUUUAUGAUAUUAAGAUAAUUUUUCUGAUGGAAAACCAGGGUUGUGUCAACAAUUUGAAAGUACUUAGUUUACUUAGUUACAGCCUUUUUUUUCCUCUCAAAGAAUCAA